GCUCCCUAUACGGAAACAGGCAUUCUAAACCAGAAUCUAACACUCAAGACGAAAAGCAUGAACUAAAAAAGCAAUCUCUUCAGUUCCUUACUUCUGUUUCAGCGCACUACUUCUUGCCUACCAGAUCACUCCUUCUUCCUAUUAAGAGUCCACAACUUAGUACUUGUUGCCUGAAGCCCAUCUCCUACAUUCAGUCAUUCAGGGAUAUUACAUUUUGUUUCGAAAAUGACGGCAGCUCACUCCAUCUCUCUAAUAAGAUCAAAAUUGUGUUCACUUUAAGAGAAUCAAAAACACACACAGAUCCUGCUCUGGCACCUGCUAAAGGGGAACUUCCAGAACUCACCAAGUCUUUCAGAUGAAGAAGCCCACAAAAGCCAGAUACAGUUGUAACAUAUGGAAGUGAAAUUGCUUUUGUCAGCCAAAAUGUAAAAUGAGGUAGUGAAUGAUGAGGCAUUAAUUCUUUUUUUUUUUCACUAAUUCAUUUUUCUUCUGCCAGCUAUAUUGUCAUAGCUUAUUCUUGUUUGUGUAUUUAAUGAACACAAAAGCAUUAACAAGAGAUGAGCAACAGUUACAAGGAAACAAGAACAAGAGGUCAACACUUAAUGUAGACUGUUGGGAAAACAGUAAGACAAUUCCUAGCACAAUGAAGCUUGGAAAACAAUUUUGUUCUCAACUGGCAUCCAAAGUAUCUGUCAGAUCAACUGAAGAUGUGACAAUAUCAUGUGGAGGUAUGUGCGUAUAUAUACAUACACAUAUAUACAUAUACAAUCUAGACCAGAAAACAGAAAUUAUUCUGACGUAUCAUUGUAACAUAGUUCCCAACAAAUUACAGAACUGACUCAAACCUGGUAGGACUAGGAUGCACUUCAGGUGCUUGAUUUCUCUGCAGCAAAUAGUGAGCAAUACAGCACAGACCUUCUCCCAGCAGGGAUUGGCCACAACUGAAGAGGUUCAAAGACAACAGAAAGCUACUUUUGUAGUCUGCUUUCCUCUCAAAACUAUAGCAAUAAAGCUAAUUCAACCCAAUGUGUUGAUAAUUAC
rnacentral:lncRNA from 1 species